CAGGAGCAGGUCUCAGGGGUGGCAAAGGCUUCUUGGUCCCUUGUCAGGCAGCAGGGUUGAGACCGACGAUUUGACAUGUGCAGGUGAAUGUGCUGGUGGAGUUUCUGAUGGAGAACUGCAGGGAGCUCUUUGAAGAGGAAAUGGGCAGCCUUUCCAGCACAGCAGACAAGGAGCUGCCAGCCCCCCUGGAGAGAUUCAGAGAUCUGUGUUUGAAAGACAAAAGUGUCUCUGCAAGCAGAGAAGACACAGAGCACCAGGAAAAAACCUUUCUGGAUGCAUCCACCUCUCCACUGGACAUCCUCAGACAAGCUGGGGAAGACAUGGAGCUGGAGUCUGAAAAAGGAGAGGUCUAUUUAGGGGUCAGCAGGGGGACUGUGUGA
rnacentral:lncRNA from 1 species